rnacentral:lncRNA from 1 species
CGGCCACGGCGCGCCUGCUCUGGGCUCUCCGCGUGCCGCGUCGCUUUCUUUUCUUCCUCUGGAGCAGUUAUGGCGGCGGCGAAGACCCUGAACCCCAAGGCCAAGGUGGCCGGAGCGCAGGCGGCGCUGGCGUUCAACAUUAGCGGGGCGCGGGGUCUGCAGGACGUGCUGAGGACCAACCUGGGGCCCAAAGGGACCAUAAAGAUGUAAGGGCCUUCAUCCCAGAAUAAUCACUGAAGGAUUUGAAGCUGUGAAGGAAAAGCCCUUCAUUUUUUGGAAGAAGUCAAAGUAAGCAGAGAGAUGGACAAGGAAACACUUAAAGAUGUGGCCAGGGCAUCUCUUUGUACUAAAGUUCAUGCUGAACUUGCAGAUGUCUUAACAGAGGCUGUAGUGGGCUCCAUUUUGGCCAUUAAAAGAAAAGAUGAACCUAUUGAUCUCUUCAUGAUUUUGUGAUCAUUGACAAGAAACAUAAAUCUGAAACUGAUACAAGAGAAGUGAAUUCUGGCGUUUUUUACAAGAGUGCAGAAAGAGAAAAACUCAUAAAAGCUGAAAGAAAAUUCAUUGAAGAUAGAGUUAAAACAAAUAAUAGAACUGAAAAGGAAAGUCUGUAGUAAUUCAGAUAAAGGAUUUGUUAUUAAUCAAAAGGGAAUUGACCCCUUUUCCUUAGAUGCUCUUUCAAAGAAGGCAUAGUCGCUCUUCACAGAGCUAAAAGGAGGAAUAUGGAGAGGCUGACUCUUGCUUGUGGUGGGGUGGCCCUGAAUUCUUUUGAGGACCUAAGUCCUGACUGCUUGAGACAUGCAGGACUUGUAUAUGAGUAUACAUUGGGAGAAGUUCACCUUUAUUGAGAAGUGUAACAACCCUCGUUCUGUCACAUUAUUGAUCAAAGGACCAAAUAAGCCCACACUUAGAUCAAAGAUGCAGUAAGGGAUGGCUUGAGGGCUGUCAAAAAUGCUAUUGAUGAUGGCUGUGUGGUUCCGGUGCUGGUGCCGUGGAAGUGGCAAUGGCAGAAGCCCUGAAUAAAUAUAAGCUCAGUGUAAAGGGCAAGGCACAGCUUGGAGUCCAAGCAUUUGCUGAUGUGUUGCUCGUUAUUCCCAAGGUGAGCCCGUGGUAGCAGCAGAAGCAGGCAUUAUGGGAUAACGAUUGUGUAAAGAAACAGCUUCUUCAUUCCUGCACUGGUUGCCACCAACAUUCUCUUGGUUGAUGAGAUCAUGCGAGCUGGAAUCUUCUCUGAAAGGUUGAAUUGAAGCUUCCUCUGUAUCUGAGUCUUGAAGACUCUGCAAAGUGAUCCUGAAGAAUACAGCUGUGGAAUUUUUGUCCAAGCUUCAAAUGAGUUUCAAGGGAAUUUUCCCAUGUGAAAAAAGGAGAGAACACUGGCAUCUGUUGAAAUUCGGAAGUUCUGAAAUUAUAAUCACAGUAUUUUUUAAAAAUUGCACUGAAGUGUACACAGAUAAAGCAGGUCUUUCACCCAGUGAACAGGAUGUUUUGCUUUAGCAGCAGUGACAUAAAAUUCCAUGUUAAAUAAGCAUAUAUUACCUACCUUAUUAAAUAUUCCUUGAAAAAGCA